AUGGACACCGGAGCUACUAACCACCUCACCGGCGAGAUGGGCAAGCUCUCUACUCAGGAGCCAUAUCGUGGUCAUGAUCAGGUGCACACCGCCAGUGGAGCAGGUAUGUGCAUCUCCCAUGUUGGUCAGGCUUCUCUCCUUGCUCACAAUUUUCGUAAACUACAUCUUUCCAAUGUCCUUCGUGUUCCCUCUGCUACGCGUAGUUUGUUGUCUAUUCCUCAACUUACACGUGAUAAUAAUGUCCUUGCUGAAUUUCAUCCUUUUCGUUUCUUUAUCAAGGAUCAGGACACGAGGGCCGUUCUGCUUAGCGGUCGUCUUCGCCAUGGCUUGUACGCACUUGAUGCGCUGCACACACCCUCCAUGCAGUCUUCUCCUGAGGCGUUCAGUGGUGUUCGUGUGUCGCACACUCACUGGCAUGCGCGCCUUGGUCAUCCUGCAGCUCUCAUAGUUUGUCAUGUGUUGCAUCGUUGUGAGCUACCAGUUGUGUCCAAUAAAAUUGUUGAAACUGUCUGUGAUGCCUGUCAGCAGGGCAAGAGUCACCAACUUCCGUUUUCAGAGUCUAGUCAUGUUGUGAAACAUCCUCUUGAGCUUGUGUUUGCUGAUGUCUGGGGUCAUGCCCAGACAUCCAUUAGUGGUCACAAUUAUCAUGUCAGUUUUAUUGAUGCUUAUAGUCGGUUUACUUGGCUAUAUCAUAUUAAG
rnacentral:rRNA from 1 species